rnacentral:rRNA from 1 species
GAUGAACGCUGGCGGCGUGCCUAAUACAUGCAAGUCGAACGGAGGAUGUAGCAAUACUUCCUCAGUGGCGAACGGGUGAGUAACGCGUUGGUGACCUGCCCCAAAGUGGGGGAUAACAGUUCGAAAGGACUGCUAAUACCCCUAGAGAUCAUCGGGUUUAGAAGCCGGUGAUAAAAGGAGUAAUUCGCUUUGGGAGGGGCCUGCGUCCCAUCAGCUAGUUGGUAAGGUAAUGGCUUACCAAGGCUAUGACGGGUAGGGGACCUGAGAGGGUGGCCCCCCACAAUGGAACUGAAACACGGUCCAUACACCUACGGGUGGCUG